rnacentral:siRNA from 1 species
UUGCCACCUAGACUUCAUAA